CAGCUCUGGAAGAGCCCGCACCCACCCCGCUCCUGGGGAUUUCUUGUGCUUACCCGUAAGGGAAUUUACAUAAAUACGUGGGCAAAGCGGGACGGUGGCAGUCCCUAGAGGCGGCUGCCGUGCACGGUGUCGGGCAGUGCCAGACGCUGCAGCGCGGGGGUGGGUUUCCUCGGCACACAGGGUCCCACAGUGAGCUCGGAGCCACGCACACAGCUAGGGGCGGAGGUACUCUGCCUGAUCCGUGGGGCUUUUGGAGUUCGGAUGCAAUUGCAAAAGGAGAGAGUGGCCAGGACAGAUGGGCGGAGGCGGCGCAAAGCCCCCGGAAUGCGAGGCCAGAGGCUCUGCGAGGCUGCCCCGCGGUCCGAGAGCAGAAUUUGAAGUCUCCACUCCCCACUCCACCUCCACGCCCACUGCCCUGGAGCAAGAGCAGCACCAAGGAGCCACUCUUUAACUACACCAAGUCGUGAGGGGCAGAAGACUCCCAGCUGCACCUGGCUUACAGACACACGCCACGGGCUCUUUAGAGUUGGAGGAGACAUUAGAUUCUGGUCCCAACUCAAGCAACAGUGGAGCUAGGUGAGGUCUCUGUGUGUCCCCCCUCUCUCCUCCUUCCCUGAAGAAUGCACUCCGAAGGACAGAUUUGAAGAUCUUUCUGGGGUGACUGCUGUUAAUUCUUGUUUGGGAAAGUGUUAAUUACUGCCAAACUGGACCCGAGAGAGCAUGGUCAGAUUCCCCAGCAUCUCUAGUCCUGCAGAGUUCCUGUUCUGCCAGGCAUCAGUCUGAGCCAUUGCUGCUGUGGCUCAUGUGACAGCUACCGGUGCCACCAAAUGUCCCAGAGAGUGACCCCAUCAAAGAGGACAAAUGGGGCCACUCCCCACAAAGCCACCCUAACUCCAGAGUUGCUGCUUUGCUCUCCAGUCCCAUUGCCCCAGAAUCCAGACAUCCCAGUACUCCUUGAGGAGACUGGCCUCCUGGUAUCUGAUGCAGGCCCCUGGAGCAGUCCUCACCUGACAGAACUCACUGUGAACUGGAUUUCCUCUCCUCUUGGCCCCAGGCAAUAUCACCUGCGCUGUUCUGGGCAGGGGACCCUGAACUCCACCCAAAUCUAAUCACCUCUCUUGGGCCAGCCAUAAAGGCCAGGGUACAACCCCGGAUACCUCCACAGCUAGAACACUCUAGAAGCAGCUUCUGCUUGGGGCUGUGUUUUCUUGUCUUUGAAUAGAAGCCAGUUUAUGCCAAGAAUGUCUCCAGGACUGUUUCCAUUGACAAAUAUUACAUAUUUGGGACAAGCUGUCACCAGUAACUAUUCCUUGCCCAUUUAAAUUAGUUAAUACACUUGAUGUAUUUGAAACUGUACUAGACAUAGGUGAUGUGGAAAAAAUGGUACUAAAAUUAUGUGAUUCUCUGCUCUGGAGGAAGUUACACUUGAGUUUGGGAGGUGAAAUUAACAAAUAAACAAUAGUAAACGACCCAAGCAGAGACAGAUGCAGUGCUAAAUGGUUUAGACUCUAAGUGCUUUAAGAGUUUAAAGGAAAGAUGGGGGUAGACGGCAGGAUUUCUAUUACUUAGAAUUGGUUAUUCAGAUUUUUCCUACCCCUCUGCACCCUCCAUGGAAGGGGAGAGAGGCAGAGCGCUGGGGGGGGGGCCCCUCCGAGCGCUGGGGGGCCCCUCCCGCUGCCGGCGCAGUGUGGGUGUGAGGGUCAGAAGCACAGAAGAGGAGGCCCUGGUGGUCACGGGCAGACGAGGGCUCUGUCCCGGCCCCACUCCAGACCCAGACGGCGCCGCCACUGCCCGGUGCCCAGGUCCUCUCCCUGGAUUCCUCUCCCACGCACCCGGGCUGCCCACGCACCCAUGUCCACUCAUCGUGCCAGGCUAUGACGAGGCAGCGUUUCCCCACUGAUGAUGGCUGCCUGGAGUUGCAGUCAGAAGGGAAAGACAUAAACAAAACAAACAUUCAGCCAACCACACUCCUGUACUGUUUCCUCAUUUCUUCAUUUACAGGAAACCCUGAGAUUGGCAUAUGAACAUCCUGCAGGAAGGACACCUGCCCUCAGUAAUUAGCUCAUGUGCCGCGGUGACAGGCCAGUGCGGGGCUGUUAGAGUUGCGGCCGAGCAGGUUGUGGAGCUUCCAGGAGCAGCUGGAGGCCUGCGGGGGCCCUGGCGGCCACAGGCCCGCCGCCACGUGCUUCUCCUCUUGUGAAUACAGCUGCCUCGGAGGUUAGGUUACCACCGCGCUUAUUCUCUGUGACUUAUUUUGAGUAAUAAGAUCCUUUUUCAGAAAUUUAUCAUUUUCUUAUUAAUAAGAAAUUGAAAAAAUUG